UACGUAGGGUGCGAGCGUUAAUCGGAAUUACUGGGCGUAAAGCGUGCGCAGGCGGUUAUGUAAGACAGAUGUGAAAUGCCCGGGCUUAACCUGGGAACUGCAUUUGUGACUGCAUGGCUAGAGUGUGUCAGAGGGGGUAGAAUUCCACGUGUAGCAGUGAAAUGCGUAGAUAUGUGGAGGAAUACCGAUGGCGAAGGCAGCCCCCUGGGUCAAGAUUGACGCUCAUGCACGAAAGCGUGGGGAGCAACAGG
rnacentral:rRNA from 1 species